rnacentral:rRNA from 1 species
UACGUAGGGACCUAGCGUUGUCCGGAAUCAUUGGGCGUAAAGCGCGCGUAGGCGGCCCGGUAAGUCCGUUGUAAAAGUCAAAGGCUCAACCUUUGAAAGCCGAUGGAUACUGCCGGGCUAGAGUACGGAAGAGGCGAGUAGAAUUCCUGGUGUAGCGGUGGAAUGCGCAGAUAUCAGGAGGAAUACCCAUAGCGAAGGCAGCUCGCUGGGACGUUACUGACGCUGAGGCGCGAAAGCGUGGGGAGCGAACAGG